UGUCGGGGAAGGGUGAGAACCUUCGAUUAAGGUUCGACUCGAGCGAAAGCGAGAGAACGUUGCCAACGGCAACGGCCCGUAGGGUGAGGAGCGAAGCGACGAAUAAUCCUUCCCCUACCACCA
rnacentral:sRNA from 1 species